UCAUGCGCUUCGGCUCAGAGAAAAAGAAGGGACAUUUCUGGCGCCAUCUCUGAACACUUUGCCUCUGUUCAUGUGUCAAUUAGCGGGAACAGGACGGAUGAGUACGGUUCUUCAAAUACAAAGGAACAUAGCAAAGUCAUAACCGACGAGCACUCAUGUGAAAAAGACACCAACUUUUGGUUAUCCAUUGCUGGACUUGGCGCUAUCUCUUUGAUGGAACUGUUUAUGAUUGGUGGAAUGAUGUGGUACAAACGUCACGUGAUGAGACUGUUGCAGUAGAUGGACCCGAACAGUCGAUGAGACCUUGAUUGGAUACAGAAUAUCGGACACAUUUCUAUUUUCCAUAAUAAAAUACUACGAACAAACAAAUUAUUGGAUCAUCUUCUAUUCUAAAGUUUAAUGAAGUUAUUUUUUGAA